rnacentral:rRNA from 1 species
GCUUACGGCCAUACCAGCCUGAGCACUCCCGAUCUCGUCCGAUCUCGGAAGCCAAGCAGGGUCGGGCCUGGUUAGUACUUGAAUGGGAGACCGCCUGGGAAUACCAGGUGCUGUAAGCAU